rnacentral:rRNA from 1 species
UGAACGCUGGCGGCGUGCCUAAUACAUGCAAGUCGAGCGAACAGAUAAGGAGCUUGCUCCUUUGACGUUAGCGGCGGACGGGUGAGUAACACGUGGGUAACCUACCUAUAAGACUGGAAUAACUCCGGGAAACCGGGGCUAAUGCCGGAUAAUAUUUAGAACCGCAUGGUUCUAAAGUGAAAGAUGGUUUUGCUAUCACUUAUAGAUGGACCCGCGCCGUAUUAGCUAGUUGGUGGGGUAAUGGCUUACCAAGGCAACGAUACGUAGCCGACCUGAGAGGGUGAUCGGCCACACUGGAACUGAGACACGGUCCAGACUCCUACGGGAGGCAGCAGUAGGGAAUCUUCCGCAAUGGGCGAAAGCCUGACGGAGCAACGCCGCGUGAGUGAUGAAGGUCUUCGGAUCGUAAAACUCUGUUAUUAGGGAAGAACAAAUGUGUAAGUAACUGUGCACGUCUUGACGGUACCUAAUCAGAAAGCCACGGCUAACUACGUGCCAGCAGCCGCGGUAAUAC